UUGCUGUGAUGACUUCCAUGUUGGUUUCGCUUAUCACUGAAUUCCUUUGAGGACUUCCUCUUGGCUGUCUGAGCAU